AAUCUGAUGGAUUUUUAAGAUUUUGGUAGGUGGUUUUUUUUUUUUGUUUUGUUUUGUUUUGUUUUGUUUUGUUUUCCUGGUACAAUAGCAGGAGGAGAUGCUUUCCUGAUAACUUUAUUUUGCUUUACCUGUCAGGUCUGCAGUAGUACGCCGAAAGCUUGUAAAUCACAGGCCGGAACUGUGAGGUAGUGUAAACUUCUGAGUGAAACCUGUGAGACUUUGCCAACGAGCCCCCAGCCGACCAUGCGUACUCCAGCAGCCAGAGGAAGCACUUGGUGGGACGUGCGGGCGGCGGCGUCCAUCUGAACUACGCGGCGCUCGGCCCCCGCCUGGGCCCAGCCAGCAGACCCUACUGCUCACGUGUUCUUAGCCCAUCCCAGCUACAACAUUACUACCACUGUUUUCAUAACAAAGUAGUGGAAGAGCACGUACUGUUCAACGCGUUUGUUUCACGCCUGACGCUAGGCAGGCAGAUCUGCGGAAAGAGGAGGGUCACACCCUUCAGACAAAUAUUGGCAGGUCAUCCUGUCCCGCAUGGGGACCUGCUCUGACCACACAGCCCAGGAGGAGUGCUUCUGCUGAAGAAGAGGACCGAGGACCAACUCCUGCUGCUGGAACCAAGGGGCAUCCUUCAGCAGGAUAGGUACCCACGCCGUGAAAUGUUGCCCUGUGAAGGCCGCUGAGGUCUGAGGACAUAAUUACCCUGUUCAAGUGGGAAUUUCUUUUGGUUUUAAAAGUAUAAAGUAGUGCAAAAGUUGUGUUGCCAUCCACUAGACUGAAGCAGCCUCCUCCAUUUUGCAUUUUAAGAGUGUUGCCAUCACCUGGACAGUGCCCCAGGCAUUACUUAUGCAGAGAUCCAGCUGGAGCUGGCCAGGGAAGGGCGAGCCAGCAGUGUCAGGGAUGAGAUGUCUGGAGCUCAGGUUUGGCUUAUGGGCCUCUUUUAUUUAGCCUGGAGGUGGGCCCGUGCUGAGUAGAGAAGUAUAAAUGUACCACUCAGUCUAGGCA
rnacentral:lncRNA from 1 species